AACGAACGCUGGCGGCAGGCCUAACACAUGCAAGUCGAGCGCGCCUUCGGGUGAGCGGCGGACGGGUGAGUAACGCGUGGGAAUAUGCCCUUCUCUACGGAAUAGUCCUGGGAAACUGGGGGUAAUACCGUAUACGCCCUUUGGGGGAAAGAUUUAUCGGGGAAGGAUUAGCCCGCGUUGGAUUAGGUAGUUGGUGGGGUAAUGGCCUACCAAGCCGACGAUCCAUAGCUGGUUUGAGAGGAUGAUCCGCCACACUGGGACUGAGACACGGCCCAGACUCCUACGGGAGGCAGCAGUGGGGAAUCUUAGACAAUGGGGGCAACCCUGAUCUAGCCAUGCCGCGUGAGUGAUGAAGGCCUUAGGGUUGUAAAGCUCUUUCAGCUGGGAAGAUAAUGACGGUACCAGCAGAAGAAGCCCCGGCUAACUCCGUG
rnacentral:rRNA from 1 species